rnacentral:rRNA from 1 species
UACGAAGGGGGCUAGCGUUGCUCGGAAUCACUGGGCGUAAAGGGUGCGUAGGUGGGUCUUUAAGUCAGAGGUGAAAUCCUGGAGCUCAACUCCAGAACUGCCUUUGAUACUGAGGAUCUUGAGCUUCGGGAGAGGUGAGUGGAACUGCGAGUGUAGAGGUGAAAUUCGUAGAUAUUCGCAAGACACCAGUGGCGAAGGCGGCUCACUGG